rnacentral:rRNA from 1 species
GAUGAACGCUGGCGGCGUGCUUAAUACAUGCAAGUCGAGCGAACGGACGCGAAGCUUGCUUCUCUGACGUUAGCGGCGGACGGGUGAGUAACACGUGUAUAACCUACCUAUAAGACUGGGAUAACUUCGGGAAACCGUAGCUAAUACCGGAUAAUAUCCUGAACCGCAUGGUUGAAAAGUGAAAGACGGUCUUGCUGUCACUUAUAGAUGGAUCCGCGCUGCAUUAGCUAGUUGGUAAGGUAACGGCCUAUCACGGCAACUAUGCAUAGCCGACCUCAGAGAGGGAUCGGCCACACGGGAGCUGAAACGGGGACAUGACUACUACGAGAGGCAGCAGUAGGGAAUGUGCCGCAAUGGGCGGGAACAUGGCGGAGCGACGGGGCGUGAGUGGUGAAGAUCUUCGGAGCGUAAAACUCUGUUAUGAGGGGAGAACAUAUGUGUAAGGAACUGAGCACAGCUUGACGGUACCUAAUCAGAAAGCCACGGCUAACUACGUG